GAUGAACGCUGACAGAAUGCUUAACACAUGCAAGUCAACUUGAACUUCGGUUUGGGUGGCGGACGGGUGAGUAACGCGUAAAGAACUUGCCUCACAGCUAGGGACAACAUUUGGAAACGAAUGCUAAUACCUGACAUUAUGAUUAUAUGGCAUCGUAUAAUUAUGAAAGCUAUAUGCGCUGUGAGGGAGCUUUGCGUCCCAUUAGCUAGUUGGAGAGGUAACAGCUCACCAAGGCGAUGAUGGGUAGCCGGCCUGAGAGGGUGAUCGGCCACAAGGGGACUGAGACACGGCCCUUACGCAUACGGGAGGCAGCAGUGGGGAAUAUUGGACAAUGGACCGAGAGUCUGAUCCAGCAAUUCUGUGUGCACGAUGAAGUUUUUCGGAAUGUAAAGUGCUUUCAGUUGGGAAGAAAAAAAUGACGGUACCAACAGAAGAAGUGACGGCUAAAUACGUG
rnacentral:rRNA from 1 species